rnacentral:snRNA from 1 species
CCACCCUCGCAGAUCAAGCGUAGUAGCUGUUCUUCUUAGUUUAAUCUCUAGGACGUGCCUACGGGUACAUCUAGUGAUUAAACCAGUUUUUGGAAACAGGUUGGCGGCCGCUGAGCCCCGCUGACGUCGCUGGCCACAGUGUCGCCCGUAUCACACUGUCUCGGGCUGACGCGAACAUCA